CCUACGGAGGCAGCAGUGGGGAAUUUUGGACAAUGGGCGAAAGCCUGAUCCAGCAAUGCCGCGUGAGUGAAGAAGGCCUUCGGGUUGUAAAGCUCUUUUGUCAGGGAAGAAACGGUGAGGGCUAAUAUCUCUUGCUAAUGACGGUACCUGAAGAAUAAGCACCGGCUAACUACGUGCCAGCAGCCGCGGUAAUACGUAGGGUGCAAGCGUUAAUCGGAAUUACUGGGCGUAAAGCGUGCGCAGGCGGUUUUGUAAGUCUGUCGUGAAAUCCCCGGACUCAACCUGGGAAUUGCGAUGGAGACUGCAAGGCUAGAAUCUGGCAGAGGGGGGUAGAAUUCCACGUGUAGCAGUGAAAUGCGUAGAGAUGUGGAGGAACACCGAUGGCGAAGGCAGCCCCCUGGGUCAAGAUUGACGCUCAUGCACGAAAGCGUGGGGAGCAAACAGGAUUAGAUACCCUGGUAGUCCACGCCCUAAACGAUGUCUACUAGUUGUCGGGUUUUAAUUAACUUGGUAACGCAGCUAACGCGUGAAGUAGACCGCCUGGGGAGUACGGUCGCAAGAUUAAAACUCAAAUGAAAUUGACGG
rnacentral:rRNA from 1 species